rnacentral:rRNA from 1 species
GACGUAGGGCGCGAGCGUUGUCCGGAUUUAUUGGGCGUAAAGAGCUCGUAGGCGGCUUGUCGCGUCGACUGUGAAAUCCCGCGGCUCAACCGCGGGCUUGCAGUCGAUACGGGCAGGCUUGAGUUCGGUAGGGGAGACUGGAAUUCCUGGUGUAGCGGUGAAAUGCGUAGAUAUCGGGAGGAACACCGGUGGCGAAGGCGGUCUGCUGGGCAGUUGCUGACACUGAGGCGCGACAGCGUGGGGAGCA